UCCUUGUAUGAAAGGAGAAGAGGUUAGCACAUUCCUUGCCAAGGAUAAAAGAUGUCCUCAGGCCUGCACAAUACAUGUAUGGUAAGACACUGCCACCUACUUUGUGGCAUGGUUGCUUUUUUAUUUU